AUGAACGUGAAAAAAUUCAACCAUUAAGAUUAAGAAGAAGAAGAAGAUGUACCGUAUGAUCAGUCAAGCCUGAACUUGCAAUUUGAUGGAUUUUAGUUUUUUUCAUUUCAUCUCCUUCAGAAUCAUUGGAAACCACACUGUCCGUAGAUCUGUUGGUUUUUCAUCCUAGUUCUAUCUUUAGAUGAGCCUAACGGAGACUUAGGGUGAUGUGAAAUUGUAUGUAUGACGGUGAGAAUCACAUGAAAAUUAGAAUGAUUUUCUUUGUGCUGUCUGUUAAUAAAGCGCCCGUAUCGAUGGGAAGUUUCUUUUUCCACUUUCCUGCAAAAACGUUACCUUAUUCUCCGUACAAUAUGAAAUACGAUUCAAAAUUGCCAGACGUUCGGCAAGGUAAUAAUGAGCCUCAAAUUUAACAACUCAUCUAUUCAAAAUGGACAGGAACAACAACAACAACAACAACAACAACAACAGCGGCAGCAGCAGCAACAAAACAACGUCUACUUGAAAGAAAUGCAAUGCGACGCCGAACCAAUCGAACAGAUGGUCAACGUACGUCAUUAUGUUGGUGUUAAAAAACGAUCCUUUGGUCGAGUCUUUCUUUGUAUCAAAUUCUUCAUUUCCUCUGACAUUGUCUUCUAGGCCAAAGCAAAGAAAAACA